UUGGGCGGCCAUAGGGGGCUGGAUCACCCGUUCCCAUUUCGAACACGGCAGUUAAGCAGCCCUCCGUACCGGGUUGUACUCCAUUGUGGGGGAAGCCCGGUAAGCUGCCCAUU
rnacentral:rRNA from 1 species